rnacentral:lncRNA from 1 species
UGGAUGGUGGUAGAGCCGAGAUCUGGGGAAGCGUCCGCUGGAACCGAGGCGCGGGCUCCUAAAAGUUCAAAGGAAAUGAAAUGCUGUUCUUCAGCGGAUGGAGAAGACAAUGAUUACCUAGUUCAAUUGCUUCGCUUUCUACAUGGAAAAAUAGAGCUUGAUUUGGAAGGGGGCUUGCUUUGAGACAGGUAUGGUGCUGUAUGUCUUUAACCCUAUGAGACCAAGAAGCUAUGGAAGCCAUGGCCUGGAGCAAGAGUUUGGGUUGAGGUAUGUCUAAACCCAGAGAUCCUGAGGUAAGCAGGAAUGGGGUCACUCCUCCCCACCCUGCCCCAGGCCUGCAUAUCCCAGCCCACAGAGUCCUUCACCCUCACCUUUUCCCCUCAGAGAAGGUCUCGUAGCCUUGCAACCAGAUGGACUCCUUCUCUUUAUAAGAUUAUGUCCAGAAAUAUCUCAAA